UUUUAAAGACAGAGAAAGGCAGAAUGCGUUGUAUGCCUUGCCGCGAGGUGAAUGCCCCUCCCCGCCUCCAUCCUUUGGGAAAGCCUUUGCAGUGAGGCAUCCAAGAGAAGGUGUCACCUUCGUUGUCUCCAUCCUCUCCAAGCUGAGGAAGUCAAGAACAUCUGAAGGAGGCAAGAUGCAACCGUGCCCGUCUUGUCGUCUCCCCCUGCUCACCCGUCCCUGGCUCCUCUGAUUCCUCUUCCUCCUCCUCUGACGAGCCUCCGCACUUUGCACUUGCCGUUCCCUCCACUGGCGGCCCACGGUCAGUCCCUCACCUCCUCCAGGUCUGUGCCCCGUGUUGCCCCCGCAGGGAGACCUUCCCUCACCCGCCCAUUUGCAAAGGCGAAUGGUGCAGCCACCUCUGCUUCUCCUCUUUCUCUGCUUUAUUUAUUUUUCUCCUCUAAAACGUAAGCUCCGUAAAAGCAAGGAUCUGGGUGCUUUUUGUUCUUGCUAUAUCCCGAGCGCCUGGCAGAGAGCCUGGCACAUAACAGACAUUAAGUAAAUACUGGUUGAAUGAAGGAAUGGACAGAGAUUUGGGUGGAGACUCUUGUCUAGGGCCCCAUGUAGCUUCCCACAGUUGGCACGCAACUCCUGGAGGGCACUGGACUUCCUGCAGGACGUGAGCUGGAGGUGCAGACCAUUCUUGACUGCCUCGCCAGAGGCCAAGGCUCCUGGGCCGCACGUGGGUCACGUCUGCGACGCGGCCCUUGCACGCAUCGCAGUUUGCUAGAGAAAGGCGUGUUGCUGGGUUCUAAAGCUGCUAAUUGCACCCAGCACAAUGCUUAUCUUAUCUGUCGGCUUCUUGCAGCCACUGCCACUACUGAUAGAGCGGACAAAUUAUUGUGGUGCUUUUUUUUUCCCGUAGUUGGGGGAGUGUCAAAUCUAGGUUGUGCGCACAGGAUUGCGUCAAGCCCAAGAUAGUCCCACGUUGCACAGUAUCUCAUUCAUCGGGAACUUCUGCCCCGGGUGAUGAAUCUAAGCUCCUGGGCAGAUAGCUUGACCCCAAAUUAAACUUUUUCUUGCCUUUAACCCCUUCCUUUGCCAUUCCUUCUGCUCACCACGCCUGUCCCACUUGGGAAAACUCUUAGCCAUCUGCCAAGGAGUUCUGUGGAUGCUGCCUGCAACACUCAUUCCCUUUCUUCUGGAGGCACCACUCUGAUGAUCUCUUGGGAAGCCAUCUGCCCCCGCUCUUGGACCAUGAGUCAGGGAGAGAGACGGAGCAUGAGCAGGGGAGGAGCAGAAAGAAAGGGAGACGCAGAAUCCGAAGCAGGCUCCAGGCUCUGAGCUGUCAGCACAGAGCCCGAUGAGGAGCUUGAACUUGGAACGGCGAGAUCAUGACCUGAGCCAAAGUUGGACGCUUCACCGACUGAGCCACCCAGGCGCCCCCUGAGACUUUUGAAUUACUGGGAAGGACGCUCUUUUUUCCUACCUCCUUAUGCUCAACUCACAGAGUGAAAGCCCAGAGCUGCUGCUGACUGUUGCCGCCAUGCCACAGGGCAGAACCUGCUUGACAGUGGAGCCACCGCAGAGGAAGGCUGAGCCAAGAGAUGGUCCCAGACAUGUUCUUAACGAUGUUGUUUGAGCGCCUGCAAGCAGCCCUACCCUGGGACCAUUAGGUCGCUAAUGCUAAUAAAUGCCUUUCCUGCCCAA